ACGGGAGGCAGCAGUGGGGAAUAUUGCACAAUGGGGGAAACCCUGAUGCAGCGACGCCGCGUGAAGGAAGAAGUAUUUCGGUAUGUAAACUUCUAUCAGCAGGGAAGAUAAUGACGGUACCUGACUAAGAAGCCCCGGCUAACUACGUGCCAGCAGCCGCGGUAAUACGUAGGGGGCAAGCGUUAUCCGGAUUUACUGGGUGUAAAGGGAGCGUAGACGGAUCGGCAAGUCUGAUGUGAAAGGCUGGGGCUCAACCCCGGGACUGCAUUGGAAACUGUCGGUCUUGAGUGCCGGAGGGGUAAGCGGAAUUCCUAGUGUAGCGGUGAAAUGCGUAGAUAUUAGGAGGAACACCAGUGGCGAAGGCGGCUUACUGGACUGUAACUGACGUUGAGGCUCGAAAGCGUGGGGAGCAAACAGGAUUAGAUACCCUGGUA
rnacentral:rRNA from 1 species